rnacentral:lncRNA from 1 species
UUUUUUUUUUUUUUUUUUUUUUUUUUUUUUUUUUUUUUUUAUAAUAUCGUUAGUCAACAUAAAGUAAACAAUUAAAUAGUUCUUGAAAGAAAAAACAAAUAAUAAAACACUAGAAAUAGGAAUUAUUAUGAAAUUACACUACACAGAGAGAGGAAGAACAAAUUAGAGCAUGCAAGAACAGUAGUGAGUCCAACCACAGUAUUCACUUAAUUAAAUUUAUCUAAAUGCAAUUUUAAUUAUUGAAAUGUGUAAUUUUAUAAUUAAGAGAAAAUAAAUAAAAAAAAUUAGAAAAAUGCAAAUAAUUAAUUAAUUGAUGCAUGUGACCAACCAAUUGCAGUGUCAUCCUUGCAUUUGCGAUGCCUAUACCCUGCAGAUAUACACAAGGAGGAAGUCCUCUGUUUUUAAGGCAGGAACAGAAGUAACAAAGAAAACAGAAAAGAAAAAAAAAAAUAGGGAAAAUAAAUAAAGUAGAAAAAAUGAAUUGUUCUUACUGUAUGAGAAAUGAGAGGCGGCGGCGGCAGAAUCAACCAGCUUUACUGGGGUUUCAAUUAAACCCACACCAUCUUCAUUGUCCGAAUGAAUUUCCAUUUUACAAAAUAAAAUUUGCAAAAGAGAAAAUUAGAAAACAUGCAUGCAUGAGAAGAAAACAAGAGAGCAGAUAUAUAGAUAUGAACUCUGCAGCGAAGGAAAUAUAGAUGAAAGCUUUAAUUCAGAUGAUCAGAAAAAGAAAGUGGAGUUAUAUAUAUGUAUAGGGAAUUGGAAUUAAUCACAGAAACUCAUGCAAAGCAGUAACAAAUAGCAAUGAUG